AUUGAACGCUGGCGGCAGGCCUAACACAUGCAAGUCGAACGAGCGGCGGACGGGUGAGUAAUGUAUGGGAAACUGCCCGAUGGAGGGGGCUAACUACUGGAAACGGUAGCUAAUACCGCAUACUAUCAGAUGUGCCCAGAUGGGAUUAGCUUGUGGGUGGGGUAACGGCUCACCUAGGCGACGAUCCCUAGCUGGUCUGAGAGGAUGACCAGCCACACUGGAACUGAGACACGGUCCAGACUCCUACGGGAGGCAGCAGUGGGGAAGAUUGCACAAUGGGCGCAAGCCUGAUGCAGCCAUGCCGCGUGUAUGAAGAAGGCCUUCGGGUUGUAAAGUACUUUCAGCGGGGAGGCGUUACCCGCAGAAGAAGCACCGGCUAACUCCGUGCCAGCAGCCGCGGUAAUUC
rnacentral:rRNA from 1 species